rnacentral:tRNA from 1 species
UGGCUCAAUUGGUUGGGCAUCUGACUUCGAUUCAGGUCAUGAUCUCACAGUUCGUGGGUUCGAGCCCCAC